GAUCCUGGCUCAGGAUGAACGCUGGCGGCGUGCUUAACACAUGCAAGUCGAACGAUUGAAGCUGGAGCUUGCUCCGGCCGAUUUAGUGGCGGACGGGUGAGUAACGCGUGGGUAACCUGCCUCAUACAGGGGGAUAGCAGUUGGAAACGACUGGUAAAACCGCAUAAGCGCACGGUGUCGCAUGACACAGUGUGAAAACACUCCGGUGGUAUGAGAUGGACCCGCGUCUGAUUAGCUAGUUGGUGAGGUAACGGCCCACCAAGGCGACGAUCAGUAGCCGGCCUGAGAGGGUGAACGGCCACAUUGGGACUGAGACACGGCCCAAACUCCUACGGGAGGCAGCAGUGGGGAAUAUUGCACAAUGGGGGAAACCCUGAUGCAGCGACGCCGCGUGAGUGAUGAAGUAUUUCGGUAUGUAAAGCUCUAUCAGCAGGGAAGAUAAUGACGGUACCUGACUAAGAAGCACCGGCUAAAUACGUGCCAGCAGCCGCGGUAAUACGUAUGGUGCAAGCGUUAUCCGGAUUUACUGGGUGUAAAGGGUGCGUAGGUGGCAAGGCAAGUCUGAAGUGAAAAUCCGGGGCUCAACCCCGGAACUGCUUUGGAAACUGUUUAGCUGGAGUACAGGAGAGGUAAGUGGAAUUCCUAGUGUAGCGGUGAAAUGCGUAGAUAUUAGGAGGAACACCAGUGGCGAAGGCGACUUACUGGACUGCUACUGACACUGAGGCACGAAAGCGUGGGGAGCAAACAGGAUUAGAUACCCUGGUAGUCCACGCCGUAAACG
rnacentral:rRNA from 1 species